rnacentral:rRNA from 1 species
AGAGUUUGAUCAUGGCUCAGGAUGAACGCUGGCGGCGUGCUUAAUACAUGCAAGUCGAGCGAGGACCAUUUGGUGGCAACACCGGGUGGCUCCUAGCGGCGAACGGGUGAGUGACACGUGGGCAACCUACCCCCGACUUUGGGAUAAGCCCGGGAAACUGGGUCUAAUACCGGAUACGAGCCUCCUCCGCAUGGUGGAGGUUGGAAAGGGUCUCCGGUCGGGGAUGGGCCCGCGGCCUAUCAGCUUGUUGGCGGGGUAACGGCCCACCAAGGCGACGACGGGUAGCCGGCCUGAGAGGGUGAACGGCCACACUGGGACUGAGACACGGCCUAGACUCCUACGGGAGGCAGCAGUAGGGAAUCUUGCGCAAUGGGCGAAAGCCUGACGCAGCGACGCCGCGUGCGGGACGAAGGCCUUCGGGUUGUAAACCGCUUUCAGCAGGGACGAAGCGAAAGUGACGGUACCUGCAGAAGAAGGUCCGGCCAACUACGUGCCAGCAGCCGCGGUA